rnacentral:rRNA from 1 species
UACAGAGGUCCCAAGCGUUGUUCGGAUUCACUGGGCGUAAAGGGUGCGUAGGUGGCGAGGUAAGUCGGAUGUGAAAGCUCGGAGCUCAACUCCGAAAUGGCAUUGGAAACUACCUUGCUCGAGGGUUGGAGGGGGACUGGAAUUCUCGGUGUAGCAGUGAAAUGCGUAGAUAUCGAGAGGAACACCAGUGGCGAAGGCGAGUCCCUGGACAACUCCUGACACUGAAGCACGAAAGCGUGGGGAGCGAACAGG